UCUGGCCCCAGAGGCAUGGCAGGUGUGUCACAUUGUGCUUCCGUAGGUGAGAGGUGCAUCAGAGAGGAGAGAGGCUAUGUCUACACCACUCUUCUGACCUGUGAACAUCAGAAUGAUUAGUACUCUAACAGU
ensembl:snoRNA